rnacentral:rRNA from 1 species
ACGUGGACGCUAGUCUCACAGAUUUAGCCAUGCAUGUGUAAGCGAAGCUACUGUUGAUUCUGCCUGACGUAGAUGCUAGUCUCUAAGAUUUAGCCAUGCAUGCUUGGUGAACCGAAUGGGGAACGGCGAACGGCUCAGUAAUGUUGCGAUGAUUUGCUCUUGCUGGCGACUAACCACGGCAACCUGUGGCUAAGAGGCGAGAAUAAGACGCAACCCUAUCAGUUUGUUGGUAGUGUAACGGACUACCAAGACGGCGACGGGUAACGGGAAAUCAGGGUUUGAUUCCGGAGAGGGAGCCUGAGAGAUGGCUCCCAUGUCCAAGGACAGCAGCAGGCGCGAAAAUUGCCCACUCUUUGUGAGGAGGCAGUUAUGAGACAUGAGUGGAAGCAGAAACGGCAAAGGUGUUUCUUUGAUGCAAUUGGAGGGCAAGUUUGGUGCCAGCAGCCGCGGUAAUACCGACUCCAAGAGUGUCUAUGGUGGAUGCUGCAGUUAAAAAGUCCGUAGUUGUGAUGCAAUGAAAGGGCGCGGAUCAAGCGCGUCUUCUUUGUUAUGUGUGGCGGAACGGACAGGGAGCACGGUAUAGAUGGGCGAGAGAUGAAAUGACCAAGACCCCAUCUGGACCGACGGGGGCGCAGGCGGUGCUCUUGGACGAUUCUGGGGAUCAAGGACGAAUCGCUGGAGGAUCGAAAGUGAUUAGAUACCGCUGUAGUUCCAGCAGUAAACGAUGCCGACACUUCCUGGCAGUGCUGGAGGAGGAGGAGAAAUCUUAGUUUAUCGGGCUCUGGGUGAUAGUACGCUCGCAAUGUUGAAACUUGAAAGUGAAAUUGACGGAACUACACUACCAGGAGUGGAUUGUGCGGCUUAAUUUGACUCAACGCUGGACAGCAUUACCAAGAAGUAUCACCACAAGGAGUUGGUAGUGUGCCGCUUAAUUUUGACUCACGCGGGACAGCCUUUACCAAAA